UACGAAGGGUGCAAGCGUUGUUCGGAAUAACUGGGCGUAAAGAGCGCGUAGGCGGGUAUGUAAGUUAUUUGUGAAAGCCCCGGGCUUAACCCGGGAAUUGCAGGUAAAACUGCAUAUCUUGAAUACUGCAGGGGAUGGUGGAAUCCUGGUGGAGAAGUGAAAUUUAUAGAGAUCAGGAGGAACACCUGAGGCGAAGGCGGCCAUCUGGGCAUGUAUUGACGCUGUGGCGCGAAAGCGUGGGUAGCAAACAGG
rnacentral:rRNA from 1 species